rnacentral:rRNA from 1 species
UACGUAGGGGGCAAGCGUUGUCCGGAUUUAUUGGGCGUAAAGAGCGUGUAGGCGGCCAGGUAGGUCCGUUGUGAAAACUCGAGGCUCAACCUCGAGACGUCGAUGGAAACCAUCUAGCUAGAGUCCGGAAGAGGAGAGUGGAAUUCCUGGUGUAGCGGUGAAAUGCGCAGAUAUCAGGAAGAACACCCGUGGCGAAGGCGGCUCUCUGGUACGUGACUGACGCUGAGACGCGAAAGCGUGGGGAGCAAACAGG